CUUUAUUUUAGUUCAAAAAAUACUAAUAUUUUCUCGUGGCAGUGACAGAAGGCAUAAAACAAAUAAAUGGGGCUAACAAUUUAGAUAUUUUAGAUGUUACAUUAAAAUUUUGAAUGUUACAUUUAAAGUUAUAUGAUAAAGAUAUACAACCAUAUAAGGAGAAGAAAGUUGCAUCUCUUCAUCUCAAAAUAUACCCAAAUAUUACUGUUUUUAUUUUAUUUUUUUGAAUUCUCCCUAAUUUCACUUCUAGGAGUCAAACAGUGAUAAUCGGACAGUCAUGUAAAGAGUCAUGCAUAAUAGUGAGAAUAUUGGAAAUAAUAUAAGUGCCCAUCAGUAAGGGGAUGACACAGUAAAGCAUGGUUAUGCUUUUCCUGUAUGGACUCCAGCUUUAAUACAGCUAUGCAGCCUGAAGCCUACCAUUUGUGUGAGAGCUUACUCAGGAGCCAGGGCCUGCCCAUGCGCUAUGGUUCAAAAGUACCAGAAAUGAAUACCGCCACAACCAGCCCUUCUGUCAUUCUGCACCAUCAGUCCUCAACCAACACAUAAUGCCCUAGCUUUCUAGCCCUGAGGGAGAGUAACUCCAAAAUGCCUGUUCUACGGACUCUUAGAGUUCCCCAUGGGACCAAGUUCAUUAUCCAUGGUGGUCUCUAGAUUAAGAGAAUUUUUUAUUGGUUGCCUUUCCUUUCCUUUAUCACAUCCUUAUACCCCUACUAGAAUUUCCUGGAAUCAUCUUCCAGAUAAAAUAUUGCACUGAAACCUUGUCUUAAAGACUGCUUCUAAGAAAACCAAACUAAGACAACUAUUUAUAGGAGAGAAAAUAAGGAAUCUCUUUUUUAAGUGGGCUUGAACUUUAUAUAACACAUAAAUAGGUUUACUAUGUACUGUUGGGUUAAAAGCAUACAUGGCAUUGCAUAUGUAUAUCUCAACCUGCAACAUUCUUCCUCUCUGGUAGGUAUGGUUGGGCACCGUUCGAUUUUCAAUUUCAUUCCUAGAUUCAUACUUUUUUGACAUUAAAUAUAUAUUAAUUUUGUAGUCUGCAAAAUCAAAACAAAAUGUAACAAAAAAUCCUGGGGAGAAAAAAGACAGUGGCUCAGUGUAGGGAAAGAUAUUGGGAGGUUUGUUUCUUGAUCGAAAGUGGAUUUUUCUAGAUAUAAGUGGCCUAGAAAAUGUAGAUUUAGGCAUUUUAUGUGGAGGCAUAAGAAAGUGAGGAAAAAUACCAUGUCCCCAUGUCUGCCUAGUGAGGCCUUAGAAUUGCGCUGGGAUAGUGAAAACAGGAUAUUACCAAGGCAAAACAUCACUGGAUGCUGCCGCAUGUUGGCACAGGAAAUCAGGUGACAUUAUAGAGUCAAAAUAUGCUCUCCUUAAUGCAGCCUACUUAAUACAAAAUUUAGAUGGAGAAACAUUAAUUGAAAAAAGGCAAAAAUCCUGUUUGUAAUUAAUGAAAGUAAUAACAUGCACAUUAAUUAUGAGUAACAAUAGAGUUUGCAUGCCACGAGAAACAUAAAAUUUCUGUUUUAGAAUAUAAUAUACAUGUUCCUCAAGACUAUUUUUCCAUUUUAUCUCUCCCCUCCUGUACACUAAUUAUUUGUUGAUCUCAACAAUGGUCUAUCAACUGAAUUUAUUUGUUCUGGAAAAUAGUACAGUGCACAUGAAAGUAAUCUUCAUCACAAUUUUUUUUUUUAAUCUUUCUGGCCUGGUUAGCUCUGUUGAUUUGGGCAUGUGCUAAUGAAACCAGUUCUGUAGAUUCAAACCCCAUCCUAAUUAGCUGUGGAAAGAGAGAUGAACUCUAUGGAUGCAACUGAUUUUCUCAAUCAAGCCAAUGCUAGUCAUUGGUCAGAAAUGGGACUAUCAUUGUGUGGCUGAAUUGAUGGUUUUCAUUUUACAAUUGAAUGAAACAUUCAAAACCUUGUUUUACCUUGGUAUAUUAAUAGCCACUGCUUCUCCAGUGCUAUUUAUUGUGCCUAGAAUAGCUCUAACAGUCAUUAUAAGAUAAGCCAGGAACCUGAGAAUCAAACUUGAUACUUCUUAUUCUUCAUCCAUAUAUAACACCCAUCACCACAUCUUGAUUUUGCCUCCUAAAUAUAUCUCUCUUCUUGCCACCAUCUCUGAUGUAACUACCCUAGACACAAUUACUAGGAACUCUUGCUAGGACAUUUCAUUAGCUUGUCAUCAUAGAUUUCUACAUCUGACACUGACCCCCCUCACUCAUUCUUUAACUUGUAACUUAGAUUAUCUAUCUAUCUACCUACCUACAUUUCUACCUAUCUAUAGCGAGAGAUAGAUAUCUUAAAAUUCAAAUAUAAGUCCACUGUCUUUCUUGAAGCUAUUUAAUGGCUUCCCACUGCUUACCAAAUAAAAACUGAAAUUCUUAAAUUAGCAUAAGAAAACCUGAAUGAUUGGCUUCUUUUGACCAAUCUAGCCUCAUAUCCUGUGUUUUCUGGGUAGUGGUACUUCACAGAACCUAUCAUUUUAUGCAAUCUAUAACUGAGACUCAUCAAAUUAAGACGAAGGAAUGAAUGAUUACCCUACCACUUUCAUUCACUCUUAUUCUUGCACAUGUUGCUUCAGACAAGUAGCUUUUCUUCAGUUUCUCCAAUGCUACCUCCAUACUCAGGGCCAUUUGCCUGUUUUCCCCAUCCCUCAAAUACUCUAAGCCCUUUCCCCUUUGCCUAGUUCAUUCUUCAUCUCAGCUUAUACAAGUGUUCCUCUGAGAAUCCUUUCUUCAUCAUUUAGACCAAAUUAGUUUAUUCUAUUUUUCCUCUCUCUUGCUUUAAAACAAUUAUCAAAUGUUUAAUUGAAUACUACUGUAUUUGAUUAUGAUGAAUUGCCCUUCAUGAACUUGCUACACUGUAAAUUCUAUGGCACCACAGAAAACACACUUAUUUUGCUUACCAUCUUUUUAAAAGUCAGAGUAGGAUGUCAAAUAUUGAUAAAGCAAUGUGGCAUGACUCUAAUCCCCCUACAAUGAUCCUUUAGAAGCCAAAUUCAAAGACUUCUCCUCAAAUUCAUUCUUUUCAGUUAUUUUUGAUUAAUUAUUCAUGACUAAUUUUUGAAAUUACCAACUUUUUUGAAAUUACCAACAUUGGUGCCUGUUAUUAUAUUUGCUGGCUUUUUCUGAUUGUUUUAGACACUAUGUAUUGCCUGCAUGCCACCUAUUCCUCCUUCUAUCUUUAACUGUAAAUAUUUUCCAUUGCUCUAAGUUCAGUUUUUUAGCCCCAUCCCAUUCACUACAACAACAACCCUUCAAUGAAUGUUGUCCAAAUUGACCUCAUUCUCCAGGCCCAUCUCUUUCAUAUAGAUUCAAGAUUUAUGCUGAAUACUACUUUUCAUUGUCCAGAUCAGUAAUCUCUAGAGACCCCUUAAUCAUUAAAAAUCAAAUUCUUCUCCUGAAUUCUGUCUCAUCCAUUGGGCCAUCAUUAUGCUGCUAUUUUCCUGUGAACUAUGUUCAACUAUGCUCAAAACCUAUAGAAUCAUCUUUGCCUCCAUGUCCCUUGUGUCUUCCUCAUUUCUGUCAUGGUUAACUCUUUUUAAACUUAAUUCUGCUUUCACUGAAAAUGACUUAAAUUUUCUCUGGUCUAGACAGUAUAAGAGCAUCCUGACUCAUGUCAUAGCCCUUAUGCCCCCAUCCCUAAAUUCAUCACCAUAACUAUGUCAAACUGGUCUUCCUAAAUAGAAUUUGCUCCUUUACCUGAAUGUGGAUCCUCAACUUAUUGGUGUCCUGGCUCAGGGAUAUUGACUAAGGUGCAAAUGUCAAAGUGUAAACCUACGAUUUUCUUUAAGUUUUCUAAUAUAUCUUUCUAGAUUACUCUAACUUACAAAUUUUUCUUAGGACAUAUUCACCCUUUCUAAAUUCUUUGAGUUUUAUCCUACUGUUCCACUUGACUGCAAUGACUUCUAGCUUACAGUCUUGGAAGUGAGGAGUGGGGAGGGGAAAGUCCUAUCCUUUCUUGAAUAUUCACAUCAAAUGCUACUUGAUAACCUUCUUGAAAUUCAUGACAUCUUUUGGGACCUCUUUUAUGGAAUAGAUAUUUUGUUUUAUAUUCUAACUAUUGAGCCCUUGUUUCCUUAAGAGAGACUGUAAGCUCCUUAAGAGCAGGCAUUAUUUUUUAUUCGUUUUAUGUUCCCUGAAAUGGUAAUUUCAUAUAUCACUGGCAUAGGCUAGGUGCUCAAUUAAUAUUUGUUGAAUUAAACCAAAUAUACAGGAAAUCAACCUAAUAAAAAUGAAUAUAUAUGUAAUACUCAAGAAAUCACUGAAAUUUGUACCUCAAAAUAUAUAGAAUAAAGAAUUUAUUAUUCCUCUUGUAUCAUUUGUUUUAUUACAUGAUUUGACAUUGUUUAUGUUUAUAGGAUUUAAUUGUCUUCAAAUUUUCUAACAGAACAUUAAUGUGAUAUUAGAACAAAUAAUAGUAUACUCAGUCUCUAUAUCAGGAAACUGCAGUAACGGGAUUUUAUAUCUAAUUUGCUUAAGGUACAUGAUUGAUAACAAAACCAGAACUAAAUUAAGGUCUUUUGACAUUUGUUAAUAAUACAUUGUCUCCUAAUCCAUGUAUUAUUUGUUUGAAGAUGUAAAGCAAAUUAAUAUAAAAAUGAUAUUUAAUGAUUUGUUCUGUUUUUUUCUAAAGUUAUAUGUAGAAUAUAUUCUGAGGGAUAUUCUGAAAGAUGAUGGGAUUAUUGCAAAAACUCUGCAAUAUAAAGAGAAUGAAUGCUAAUAAGCAGUAUAUAUCAAUUAUUUGCACUUAAGUAUAAACACACAAUUGUUUAUAUAUGUGUAUAUCAGCAUGUAUAUGUUUAUCACAUUUGACUGAAAAUUCUAGGCACGUAACUAGUUCUCCCAAACCUUUUGUGAUUUUAGAAUAAGGGUUUUAGUGACUUUCAGAGGCCAUAUGAAUCUCUUUUCUUUUUUUCUUUUUUUUUAUUUCUUUAUAUAUAUAUUUUUUCUACUGCACAGCAGGGUGACCCAGUUACAUAUACAUGUAUAUAUUCUUUUUUCUCACAUUACGUGUUCCAUCAUAAUUGACUAGACAGAGUUCCCAGUGCUACACAGCAGGAUCCCACUGUUAAUCCUUCCCGAAGGCAAAAUUCUGCAUCUAUUGACAAUAAACCAUUAAUCCCUAUGUAAUAUAGUAACCCAUAGGAGACAAAAUUGAGAAAGAUUUAUAUUCUCAUCAAAAUUUAAUCAUGUUCAUUUUAGUUUGAAGUUAUCUGCAUAUCAGUAUAUUAACAUAUCAGCAUAAAAUAAGUCUCACAUAAAUACAACAAGUUUAAUUAUUCUAGCAUUGUUUGUACACAGCUGCCUGCACAUGAAUAAGCUAGAUGCAGAUUCUUUGUGACACUUUGCAAUUUGGACCUGAAGUAACAUUGGAAAUUAUACAAGGAAGAUACGGUGUUUAAAUUUCAAUAGUUGUCUUCAUUCAUCCAUAGCACUGAAUGCAAGCUCAAAAGAAUUGGAAAUGCCAUGGUGGUAUCAUGAAAUGUUCUAAUACUAAAAAAUAUAUAAAAGCUUUCUUUCUGACACACACAGAGAACCCAGUGUGACUAAGUGGUUUAAGUGCAUGCAAGUGCAAUAAUGUUGCCAAAGCAAUGUCAGGAUUUAGCUGAAAAGAAAAUCUCUUUUUUCUAAUUUCUCCUCCAAAAAAUAGUUUGUUGAGAAGUACUAUGACUAUUUCCAUCUGGCUCUAAAUAUCAAAAAUCAUUUAUAGAAUACUAACUGUGUCUUGAAAUUGAUAGAAGUUUCAUAAAGGUAGAAUUUAAGUCAAGGAGGUAAUGCUUAUACUUAUAAUGAAUAGACUCAAAAACAUGUCAUGCCUCUGUAAAAGGUUUCUUAAUAUUGCUACUAUUUCGUUAAAUGAAUUUAUUUUCUAUCUUUUAGAUUAGGAAAAUAUGGAUUUUGCGACUUAAUAGGAUAACAUCUGUGUGCCAUAUAAAACGUAAUCUCUUUGGUUAGAAGGGAAAGUUCUAUUCUAAAAAUCGUUCACUGAAAAGGGGACCAUUUCAGUCUUUUUAAGUAAUUUUAAUUGUACAAUUUGGUUUGUCAAAUGUCUCAGAAUUUUAUUUUUUUACAUUUGGAUUUCUUUUCUUUAUAAUUGUGAUUUGGUUGAAUCUUUAGUGUUAAGGGGAAAGCAGGUAGAUUGCCUUUAUUAACUAGAGUAGAGGCUUUUAACCCAGUGAUAUUGAAUUUACAACUGUUCUGUUUCCUUUUCAUUUCUGGAUUCAUUCCUUCAAGUAUACAUUAUUUUAACAGUCCUAAGUAACAUUCUAUUAUGAGACAGGCAAGAUGCUAAGAACUGGGAAUGCAAUAUGAAUGAGAUGGAAGACACUGCCCAUUCUCAAUUUAACAUCAUCAAUUGAAAUAGGCUUUUGCUUUUUUUUUAUUUUUAAAGUAAUAUAGUCCCAGUCUUCUGAGUGGAAAACUGACAGUAAUAAACC
rnacentral:lncRNA from 1 species